rnacentral:misc_RNA from 1 species
GGAAGUAAUAGUCGUAACAAGGUUUCCGUAGGUGAACCUGCGGAAGGAUCAUUAUCGUACAAAAUGUGAGGGGCAUGCGAGGGCUGUCGCUGACCCAAAAGUCGUGCAUGCCCGAGUGUGUCCUCUUGCAUAAUAAUCCAUCUCACCCUUUGUGCAUCACCGCGUGGGCACCCUUCGGGAUCAUCUCGGAGGGGGGCUCGCGUUUUCACACAAACCCCCCUUUUAAAAGUGUAGAAUGACCACAUUUAUGCAAUCAAUACAACUUUCAACAACGGAUCUCUUGGCUCUC